rnacentral:rRNA from 1 species
CCUACGGGAGGCAGCAGUGGGGAAUAUUGGACAAUGGGGGGAACCCUGAUCCAGCCAUGCCGCGUGUGUGAAGAAGGCCCUCGGGUUGUAAAGCACUUUCAGUGAGGAAGAACGCCUGGUGGUUAAUACCCAUCAGGAAAGACAUCACUCACAGAAGAAGCACCGGCUAACUCCGUGCCAGCAGCCGCGGUAAUACGGAGGGUGCGAGCGUUAAUCGGAAUUACUGGGCGUAAAGCGCGCGUAGGUGGCUUGAUAAGCCGGUUGUGAAAGCCCCGGGCUCAACCUGGGAACGGCAUCCGGAACUGUCAAGCUAGAGUGCAGGAGAGGACGGUAGAAUUCCCGGUGUAGCGGUGAAAUGCGUAGAGAUCGGGAGGAAUACCAGUGGCGAAGGCGGCCUUCUGGACUGACACUGACACUGAGGUGCGAAAGCGUGGGUAGCAAACAGGAUUAGAUACCCGUGUAGUC